rnacentral:rRNA from 1 species
AUUGAACGCUGGCGGCAUGCUUUACACAUGCAAGUCGAACGGUAACAGGCCGCAAGGUGCUGACGAGUGGCGAACGGGUGAGUAAUGCAUCGGAACGUGCCCAGUCGUGGGGGAUAACUACUCGAAAGAGUAGCUAAUACCGCAUACGAUCUAUGGAUGAGAGCGGGGGACCGUAAGGCCUCGCGCGAUUGGAGCGGUCGAUGUCAGAUUAGGUAGUUGGUGGGGUAACGGCUCACCAAGCCAACGAUCUGUAGCUGGUCUGAGAGGAAGACCAGCCACACUGUGACUGAGACACGGCCCAGACUCCUACGGGAGGCAGCAGUGGGGAAUUUUGGACAAUGGGCGCAAGCCUGAUCCAGCAAUGCCGCGUGCAGGAAGAAGGCCUUCGGGUUGUAAAAUGCUUUUGUACGGAACGAAACGGCUCUGGUUAAUACCCGGGGCUAAUGACGGUACCGGAAGAAUAAGCACCGGCUAACUACGUG